CAAUGGUCGUUGGGAAAACACACUCUGCAUACAGCAUGGAUAUCCACCUCACCAAGCAGCAGCAGCAGCCGCCGCCUGGAGAAGGGCAAGGAUGGAGAUAGGAAGAAGAGCUGGCCUCAGAGGCUGUGUUGAGGACUCCCCGACUGCUGGCUCUGGGGAACUUCAAAAUCUAUGCCGAGGCAACUGGCUCUGAGGUGGCUCAAGACUGGAUUCUUUUGAUGGGGUUACACUCCCUCUGAAGGAGCAGUGUAAAAAAGAAAAGAAAACUACACACACCAUCAUCAUUCUGCAUGCAUGGUUUUGAAGGAGCUGCUAUUAUUUCUACCAAUUGCUUCUGCAAUAAGCCCUACUCAUCCACCAAACAUUUUAGAAACAGGGGUUGCCACUAGCAGUUCUCUCCUCCUCCAAUUUCAGAUAUGGGACACUGGAAGGUCUGGCUCUAGCAAUUCAUGGGGAGUGCAUACAAA